rnacentral:rRNA from 1 species
UUCCGGUUGAUCCUGCCGGAGGUUACUGCUAUCGAGGUUCGACUAAGCCAUGCGAGUCGAAUGUAGCAAUACAUGGCGUACUGCUCAGUAACACGUGGAUAACCUACCCUUGAGAUGGGAAUAAACCCGGGAAACUGGGUAUAAUACCCGAUAGAUCUCGACUGCUGGAAUGCAUCGAGAUCCAAAGCUCCGGCGCUCAAGGAUGGAUCUGCGGCCUAUCAGGUAGUAGUGGGUGUAGUGUACCUACUAGCCUACGACGGGUACGGGUUGUGAGAGCAAGAGCCCGGAGAUGGAUUCUGAGACACGAAUCCAGGCCCUACGGGGUGCAGCAGGCGCGAAAACUUUACAAUGCUGGAAACAGCGAUAAGGGGACCUCGAGUGCCAGGUUACAAAUCUGGCUGUCGUGAUGCCUAAAAAGCAUUGCAUAGCAAGGGCCGGGCAAGACCGGUGCCAGCCGCCGCGGUAACACCGGCGGCUCGAGUGGUAACCGUUAUUAUUGGGUCUAAAGGGUCUGUAGCCGGCCGGAUAAGUCUCUUGGGAAAUCUGGCAGCUUAACUGUCAGGCUUUCAGGAGAUACUGUCUGGCUCGAGGCCGGGAGAGGUGAGAGGUACUUCAGGGGUAGGGGUGAAAUCUUGUAAUCCUUGAAGGACCACCAGUGGCGAAGGCGUCUCACCAGAACGGACCUGACGGCAAGGGACGAAAGCUAGGGGCACGAACCGGAUUAGAUACCCGGGUAGUCCUAGCCGUAAACGAUACUCGCUAGGUGUCGGCAACGGUGCGACCGUUGUCGGUGCCGUAGGGAAGCCGUGAAGCGAGCCACCUGGGAAGUACGGCCGCAAGGCUGAAACUUAAAGGAAUUGGCGGGGGAGCACCACAACGGGUGGAGCUUGCGGUUUAAUUGGAUUCAACGCCGG